rnacentral:rRNA from 1 species
UGGCGGCGUGGAUAAGACAUGCAAGUCGAACGCGAUUUUCUCGGUUAGCAAUAACUGAGGAAAUUGAGUGGCGAAUGGGUGCGUAACACGUGGGAAUUUAUCCGGAAGUGGGGGAUAGCUCGUCGAAAGGCGAAUUAAUACCGCAUAUGCCUGUAAGGGCAAAGUGGGGGACCGCAAGGCCUCACGCUAUCGGAGGAGCCCGCGCCCUAUCAGCUAGUUGGUGAGGUAAUGGCUCACCAAGGCUUAGACGGGUAGCUGGUCUGAGAGGACGACCAGCCACACUGGAACUGAGACACGGUCCAGACACCUACGGGUGGCAGCAGUCGAGGAUUUUUCUCAAUGGGGGCAACCCUGAAGGAGCGACGCCGCGUGGAGGAUGAAGGGCUUCGGCUCGUAAACUCCUGUCACCGACGAACAAGACAUCCGGAUUAAUAACUCGGAUGUUUGAUGGUAGUCGGAGAGGAAGGGGCGGCUAACUCUGUGCCAGCAGCCGCGGUGAUACAGAGGCCCCAAGCGUUGUUCGGAUUUACUGGGCGUAAAGGGUGUGUAGGGGGUUAGGUUAGUCUGACGUGAAAUACCGUUGCUCAACAACGGAACUGCGUCGGAUACUGCCUAGCUAGAGGUUCGGAGAUGAGGGCGGAAUUCUCGGUGUAGCGGUGAAAUGCGUAGAUAUCGAGAGGAACGCCGAUGGCGAAAGCAGCCCUCAAGACGAAAUCUGACCCUGAAACACGAAGGCCAGGGGAGCAAACGGGAUUAGAUACCCCGGUAGUCCUGGCAGUAAACGGUGCUCAUUAGAUGUAGGCGGAUUCGACCCGCCUGUGUCGAACCUAACGGAUUAAAUGAGCCGCCUGNNAGGUACGGUCGCAAGAUUAAAACUCANGAAAUUGACGGGGGCCCGCACAAGCNGNGGA